rnacentral:tRNA from 5 species
CGGGGCGUAGCUCAGGUGGCAGAGCGCUGGCAUCGGGAGCCAGAGGUCGCGGGUUCAAGUCCCGCCGCCCCGA